GUGUCAGCCGCCGCGGUAAUACGGGUGAGGCAAGCGUUGUUCGGAAUCAUUGGGCUUAAAGCGCGUGUAGGCGGCGGCGUAAGUACUUUGUGAAAUCCCUUCUCUCAAUGGAGGAAUUGCUUGGUAUACUGCGUUGCUUGAGGUAGGUAGGGGUGCUUGGAACUCUAGGUGGAGCGGUGAAAUGCGUAGAUAUCUAGAGGAACGCCAGUGGCGAAAGCGGAGCACUGGGCCUAUCCUGACGCUGAGACGCGAAAGCGUGGGUAGCAAACGGGAUUAGAAACCCCAGUAGUCC
rnacentral:rRNA from 1 species